GUUUGAACAUGGCUCAGGACGAACGCUGGCGGCGUGCCUAAUACAUGCAAGUCGAGCGGACAGAUGGGAGCUUGCUCCCUGAUGUUAGCGGCGGACGGGUGAGUAACACGUGGGUAACCUGCCUGUAAGACUGGGAUAACUCCGGGAAACCGGGGCUAAUACCGGAUGGUUGUUUGAACCGCAUGGUUCAGACAUAAAAGGUGGCUUCGGCUACCACUUACAGAUGGACCCGCGGCGCAUUAGCUAGUUGGUGAGGUAACGGCUCACCAAGGCGACGAUGCGUAGCCGACCUGAGAGGGUGAUCGGCCACACUGGGACUGAGACACGGCCCAGACUCCUACGGGAGGCAGCAGUAGGGAAUCUUCCGCAAUGGACGAAAGUCUGACGGAGCAACGCCGCGUGAGUGAUGAAGGUUUUCGGAUCGUAAAGCUCUGUUGUUAGGGAAGAACAAGUGCCGUUCAAAUAGGGCGGCACCUUGACGGUACCUAACCAGAAAGCCACGGCUAACUACGUGCCAGCAGCCGCGGUAAUACGUAGGUGGCAAGCGUUGUCCGGAAUUAUUGGGCGUAAAGGGCUCGCAGGCGGUUUCUUAAGUCUGAUGUGAAAGCCCCCGGCUCAACCGGGGAGGGUCAUUGGAAACUGGGGAACUUGAGUGCAGAAGAGGAGAGUGGAAUUCCACGUGUAGCGGUGAAAUGCGUAGAGAUGUGGAGGAACACCAGUGGCGAAGGCGACUCUCUGGUCUGUAACUGACGCUGAGGAGCGAAAGCGUGGGGAGCGAACAGGAUUAGAUACCCUGGUAGUCCACGCCGUAAACGAUGAGUGCUAAGUGUUAGGGGGUUUCCGCCCCUUAGUGCUGCAGCUAACGCAUUAAGCACUCCGCCUGGGGAGUACGGUCGCAAGACUGAAACUCUGGCCAAAA
rnacentral:rRNA from 1 species